rnacentral:rRNA from 1 species
UACAGAGGGUGCAAGCGUUAAUCGGAAUUACUGGGCGUAAAGCGUGCGUAGACGGUUACAUAAGUCGGGUGUGAAAGCCCCGGGCUCAACCUGGGAAUUGCAUUCAAGACUGCGUAGCUAGGGUGCGGAAGAGGGAAGCGGAAUUUCCGGUGUAGCGGUGAAAUGCGUAGAUAUCGGAAGGAACACCAGUGGCGAAAGCGGCUUCCUGGUCCAGCACCGACGUUCAGGCACGAAAGCGUGGGGAGCAAACAGG